CAGAGUAUCCAACAGAUGUGUUUAACUUCAAGUUGAAUUAAUUAACCAUGUAUGCUUUGAUACUCAAUGUCGUGGUAGCUUUUGUCUUUAUGGCCUGUACUGCAAACAGCAAAAAGUCGUGUUCACAGAGGCCCGCAGUUAACCUGAAUACUAUACCGUGUGAUAGAAUUGACCAGUCUCAUUUGUGCCGUUGCUGUCCAGUAGAUCCAUGCGAUGGUGUUACCUGCAUGAACGGGGGAAACUGUGUAGGUCACGGUGUUUGUAAUUGUACCUUUGGUUUUGGUGGAGCUGAUUGUAGCUUGAGAGUAUGUAACGUGGCCGAGUGUAGUAAUAGAGGAGGAAAUUGUACCGUAAAUAGAUGUGUCACCGAUGAUUGUGGUGACUGUGGUGAAGUGUGUUUUAAUGGUAUUUGUGUUGUCAGAGAUGAAAAUUGUGGUACUAUAGAUGACGUACUUAUUAACUGUGUUCCUCUGGGAGUACCGUGUGGGGAAGGAUUCUGUCGUUCUGCUACUAAAUGUUUAAAUGGCGGGUGUAGGCUUACAUUUCCCUGUGGUGGGCUGAGUGAUGGUGAUGGGUGCAAUAUUUUUGGUAUUUUAAAUGGCACUUGUUCAGGUGGUGCUUGUUUCGUACUGUGUUCUGAAGACAGUGAGUGUGCCGGUAGGCCGUGUGUUGGUGGAACCUGUGCAGGUGUUAAAUGUGGAGAACCAUUUUGUCGUUUCUAAAUGUGGGGAACCAUAUUGUGAGAUGUAACCAAACUAGUUUAUGUUAGCGAGCAACUAUUAUUAGAUUCAAUAAAAUAAAUUGUCAUAUUUAACCACUUCUUUAAAAUAAAUAAAUGCUAUUUAGUUCUUUCUUUAUAAAUUAUAAUUCGAAACCAACAAUAUAUUCAUCUAAACCAAUAACUUCAAUAUAUCCAUCUGUAUUUCUUCAUAAAAACCUGAUAAACCAAGAUUUUAAAAUGUAACCCAUGUUGAAAAUUAAAUAGUUUGUUCUUUC